UUGCCUCGGCGGGGUCACGCCCCGGGUGCGUCGCAGCCCCGGAACCAGGCGCCCGCCGGAGGGACCAACCAAACUCUUUUCUGUAGUCCCCUCGCGGACGUUAUUUCUUACAGCUCUGAGCAAAAAUUCAAAAUGAAUCAAAACUUUCAACAACGGAUCUCUUGGUUCUGGCAUCGAUGAAGAACGCAGCGAAAUGCGAUAAGUAAUGUGAAUUGCAGAAUUCAGUGAAUCAUCGAAUCUUUGAACGCACAUUGCGCCCGCCAGUAUUCUGGCGGGCAUGCCUGUCCGAGCGUCAUUUCAACCCUCGAACCCCUCCGGGGGGUCGGCGUUGGGGAUCGGGAACCCCUAAGACGGGAUCCCGGCCCCGAAAUACAGUGGCGGUCUCGCCGCAGCCUCUCCUGCGCAGUAGUUUGCACAACUCGCACCGGGAGCGCGGCGCGUCCACGUCCGUAAAACACCCAACUU
rnacentral:rRNA from 1 species